CCUACGGAGGCAGCAGGAGGGAAUUUUGCGCAAUGGGCGAAAGCCUGACGCAGCAACGCCGCGUGAUUGAGACGCCCUUCGGGGUGUAAAGAUCUGUUAGUGGGGACGAAACUUGACGGUACCGACAGACGAAGCACCGGCUAACUCCGUGCCAGCAGCCGCGGUCAUACGGUGGGCGCAAGCGUUGUCCGGAAUCAUUGGGCGUAAAGCGUGCGUAGGCGGCACGUAAAGUCUGGUGUUAAAGGCAGAGGCUCAACUUCCGUACGGCACUGGAUACUUGCGAGCUAGAAUGCGGUAGAGGUAGAGGGAAUUCGUGGUGUAGCGGUGAAAUGCUUAGAGAUCAGGAGGAACAUCGGUGGCGAAGGCGCUUUACUGGGCCGUAAUUGACGCUGAGGAACGAAAGCCAGGGUAGCAAAUGGGAUUAGAUACCCUGGUAGUC
rnacentral:rRNA from 1 species